GGGGGACCGCGUCCUGGAGGAGGAGAUCAGCUUCUCGCUCACCUUCGGGCGCCUGGGGCAAGUGGUGGAGGACAAGAAGUCCAUCACCUUGAAGGACAUCAGCGAGGAGGAGCACAAGCAGCUGAGCAGCAUGCUGGGCUGCGAGGUCACCUCCAUGCUCUGUGUCCCUGUCAUCAGCCGUGCCACAUCCCAAGUGGUGGCACUGGCCUGCGCCUUCAACAAGCUCAAUGGGGAGAGGUGAGCAUGGGGACCCCUUCUGGGUACCCCUAUGGGGCGAGGGCUGUGCCGUUCACUCUGGACCCUACUGAGGGCUCUGUGCUGGUGUCCCCUGCAGCUACACGGAGGCGGAUGAGCACAAGAUCCAGCACUGCUUCUGCUACACCUCCACGGUGCUCACCAGCACCUUGGCCUUUCCAGAAGGAGCAGAAGCUCAAGUGUGAGUGCCAG
rnacentral:lncRNA from 14 species